rnacentral:lncRNA from 1 species
CGACACCUGCGGGCCCGGAGGGAGGCAGGGCCCAGGACGCAAGGUGGCGACAAGGCGCGUCUGGCCCCAGGUAAUGGGGGUCACGGUGGUGGCCGUGAGCGGGGGAGGUUGCCUAGGAUGGCAGGGCCGGAGGCCUCGGCGGGGACGGGGACACCGGAUGAGAGCUCCUGAUAAGGGUGAGAGCCACCAUCGUGGUCACAGAUCCGCUGAGAGGGCAUCUCACGACACACUGUGACAUCAGGAAAAAUGGUGCUUUGCAUACUUGCUCCAGUGGACGGAUCUCAAGCUGUCUGGGGACCAGGGUUCUCAAGGACAUGGUGCUGGAACCUAGAUCUUUCAGAGAUCAAAUCAGGACAGUCCUAGGGGCUGUGGGGUCACCUUCUCUUCCUCUUUCCUGCUACCCCAAGUCAUCCGCAUUGUGUAUUAUGCAGUGGGAAAGCGCCUUGGCCUGGACCUCAAGCUACCCACGUUCUAAUCCUGCCUCUGUCAUGUCCUAGAGCUGUGGCCUCAGGUAAGUCACCUUACCUCUCUGGGCCUCAGUUUCCUCAUUUGUAGUCUUAGGUUUGUUUAGCUGACCUCCAAGUUUCCUUUCUAUCUGAAAAUUUUAAUUUCUGCCAUCCAGUUGUAGAAUGGGUAAGUGAGAGAGAUUUCC